UACGAAGGGUGCUAGCGUUGUUCGGAAUCACUGGGCGUAAAGCGCGCGCAGGCGGCUAUUCAAGUCAGGGGUGAAAUCCUUGGGCUUAACCCAAGAAUUGCCUUUGAAACUGUAUAGCUGGAGUGUCGGAGGGGAUAGCGGAAUUCCUAAUGUAGCGGUGAAAUGCGUAGAUAUUAGGAGGAACACCGGUGGCGAAGGCGGCUAUCUGGACGACAACUGACGCUGAGACACGAAAGCGUGGGGAGCAAACAGG
rnacentral:rRNA from 1 species